AGCGGAGGAAAAGAAACCAACAGGGAUUGCCCUAGUAACGGCGAGUGAAGCGGCAACAGCUCAAAUUUGAAAUCUGGCCUCGGCCCGAGUUGUAAUUUGCAGAGGAUGUUUCUGGCGCGGUGCCUUCCGAGUUCCCUGGAACGGGACGCCACAGAGGGUGAGAGCCCCGUAUGGUUGGACACCAAGCCUGUGUGAAACUCCUUCGACGAGUCGAGUAGUUUGGGAAUGCUGCUCUAAAUGGGAGGUAAAUCUCUUCUAAAGCUAAAUACCGGCCAGAGACCGAUAGCGCACAAGUAGAGUGAUCGAAAGAUGAAAAGCACCUUGAAAAGGGGGUUAAACAGUACGUGAAAUUGUUGAAAGGGAAGCGCUCAUGACCAGACUUGUGCCGGGCGGUUCAUCCGGGGUUCUCCCCGGUGCACUCCGCCCGGCUCAGGCCAGCAUCGGUUCUCGUUGGGGGAUAAGAACGGUAGGAACGUGGCCCUCCCUCGGGAGGGUGUUAUAGCCUGCCGUACGAUACCCUGAUGGGGACCGAGGUUCGCGCUCCGCAAGGAUGCUGGCGUAAUGGUCAUCAGCGACCCGUCUUGAAACACGGACCAAGGAGUCGUCCAUUAGAGCGAGCGUUUGGGUGUAAAACCCGCACGCGUAAUGAAAGUGAAAUUAGGUGAGAGCUUCGGCGCAUCAUCGACCGAUCCUGAUGUUCUCGGAUGGAUUUGAGUAAGAGUUUUAACGGACGGACCCGAAAGACAGUGAACUAUGCUUGUAUAGGGUGAAGCCAGAGGAAACUCUGGUGGAGGCUCGCAGCGGUUCUGACGUGCAAAUCGAUCGUCAAAUAUGAGCAUGGGGGCGAAAGACUAAUCGAACUGUCUAGUAGCUGGUUACCGCCG
rnacentral:rRNA from 1 species